CGGGGGCGACGGAAGUAUGAAGGCCAGGCUGAAGACCUUGCNNNAUCUUCCGAGAGGUGGUGCAUGGCCGUCGUCAGUUCGUACCGUAAGGCGUUCUGUUAAGUCAGAUAACGAACGAGACCCUCGCCUUCAGUCGCAACUCCGCGGGUGACCGCGGGGGCACACUGGAGGGAUCGCCGUCGCUAAGAUGGAGGAAGGAGAGGUCAACGGUAGGUCCGUAUGCCCCGAAUCUCCCGGGCAACACGCGCGCUACAAAGGCUGGGACAAUGGGAUCCGACCCCGAGAGGGGGAGGUAAUCCUGAAACCCAGUCGUGGUCUGGACUGAGGGCUGUAACUCGCCCUCACGAAAAUGGAUUCCGUAGUAAUCGCGGGUCAACAUCCCGCGGUGAAUAUGCCCCUGCUCCUUGCACACACCGCCUGUCAAGUCAUCCGAGUUGGGCCUGAGUGAGGGUGACCCUACCUUGGGUCGCUCGAACUUAAGUUCAGCAAGGGGGACUAAGUCAUAACAAGGUAUCUGUA
rnacentral:rRNA from 1 species